GCGCUCAUAGCUCAGUUGGUAGAGCAGAUCCCUUUUAAGGAUAAGGUCACAGGUUCGAGUCCUGUUGGGCGCA
rnacentral:tRNA from 2 species